rnacentral:ncRNA from 1 species
UCGGUGUCGGCGGGCCCUCGCGUCCGUCACAGCUCUUCUUAGAGGGACAAGCGGCGUCCAGCCGCGUGACAGUGAGCAAUAACAGGUCUGUGAUGCCCUUAGAUGUCCUGGGCCGCACGCGCGCUACACUGAAGGAAUCAGCGUGUUUCACUCUCCCUGUCCGAAAGGACCGGGUAACCGCUGAACCUCCUUCGUGGUUGGGAUUGGGGACUGCAAUGAUCCCCAUGAACCAGGAAUCCCUAGUAGGCGCGGGUCACUAGCCCGCGUCGAUUACGUCCCUGCCCUUUGUACACACCGCCCGUCGCUACUACCGAUUGAAUGAUUUAGUGAGGACUUGGGACGGGCCCGUCGGGGUGUUCCGGCUCGGGGGCGCAAGCUUUCGGGUAUCGGGCUCCUAUUCACGGCGGGACUGAAACAUGUCCGAACUUGAUCCUUUAGAGGAAGUAAAAGUCGUAACAAGGUUUCCGUAGGUGAACCUGCGGAAGGAUCAUAA